rnacentral:rRNA from 1 species
UACGUAGGGUGCAAGCGUUAAUCGGAAUUACCGGGCGUAAAGCGUGCGCAGGCGGUUAUGUAAGACAGAUGUGAAAUCCCCGGGCUCAACCUGGGAACUGCAUUUGUGACUGCAUAGCUAGAGUACGGUAGAGGGGGAUGGAAUUCCGCGUGUAGCAGUGAAAUGCGUAGAUAUGCGGAGGAACACCGAUGGCGAAGGCAAUCCCCUGGACCUGUACUGACGCUCAUGCACGAAGGCGUGGGGAGCAAACAGG